GUCCCUGUAGUGCAAUGGAUUGCACAUUGGACUUCUAAUCCAAAGGUCUUGGGUUCUAAUCCCAAAUGAGAUA
rnacentral:tRNA from 1 species